UCAGUGUGUGUGUUAGUGGAAGCGUCUGGAAAGGCGCGCGAUACAGGGUGACAGCCCCGUACACAAAAAUGCACAUGCUGUGAGCUCGAUGAGUAGGGCGGGACACGUGGUAUCCUGUCUGAAUAUGGGGGGACCAUCCUCCAAGGCUAAAUACUCCUGACUGACCGAUAGUGAACCAGUACCGUGAGGGAAAGGCGAAAAGAACCCCGGCGAGGGGAGUGAAAAAGAACCUGAAACCGUGUACGUACAAGCAGUGGGAGCACGCUUAGGCGUGUGACUGCGUACCUUUUGUAUAAUGGGUCAGCGACUUAUAUUCUGUAGCAAGGUUAACCGAAUAGGGGAGCCGAAGGGAAACCGAGUCUUAACUGGGCGUUAAGUUGCAGGGUAUAGACCCGAAACCCGGUGAUCUAGCCAUGGGCAGGUUGAAGGUUGGGUAACACUAACUGGAGGACCGAACCGACUAAUGUUGAAAAAUUAGCGGAUGACUUGUGGCUGGGGGUGAAAGGCCAAUCAAACCGGGAGAUAGCUGGUUCUCCCCGAAAGCUAUUUAGGUAGCGCCUCGUGAAUUCAUCUCCGGGGGUAGAGCACUGUUUCGGCAAGGGGGUCAUCCCGACUUACCAACCCGAUGCAAACUGCGAAUACCGGAGAAUGUUAUCACGGGAGACACACGGCGGGUGCUAACGUCCGUCGUGAAGAGGGAAACAACCCAGACCGCCAGCUAAGGUCCCAAAGUCAUGGUUAAGUGGGAAACGAUGUGGGAAGGCCCAGACAGCCAGGAUGUUGGCUUAGAAGCAGCCAUCAUUUAAAGAAAGCGUAAUAGCUCACUGGUCGAGUCGGCCUGCGCGGAAGAUGUAACGGGGCUAAACCAUGCACCGAAGCUGCGGCAGCGACGCUUAUGCGUUGUUGGGUAGGGGAGCGUUCUGUAAGCCUGCGAAGGUGUGCUGUGAGGCAUGCUGGAGGUAUCAGAAGUGCGAAUGCUGACAUAAGUAACGAUAAAGCGGGUGAAAAGCCCGCUCGCCGGAAGACCAAGGGUUCCUGUCCAACGUUAAUCGGGGCAGGGUGAGUCGACCCCUAAGGCGAGGCCGAAAGGCGUAGUCGAUGGGAAACAGGUUAAUAUUCCUGUACUUGGUGUUACUGCGAAGGGGGGACGGAGAAGGCUAUGUUGGCCGGGCGACGGUUGUCCCGGUUUAAGCGUGUAGGCUGGUUUUCCAGGCAAAUCCGGAAAAUCAAGGCUGAGGCGUGAUGACGAGGUACUACGGUGCUGAAGCAACAAAUGCCCUGCUUCCAGGAAAAGCCUCUAAGCAUCAGGUAACAUCAAAUCGUACCCCAAACCGACACAGGUGGUCAGGUAGAGAAUACCAAGGCGCUUGAGAGAACUCGGGUGAAGGAACUAGGCAAAAUGGUGCCGUAACUUCGGGAGAAGGCACGCUGAUAUGUAGGUGAAGUCCCUUGCGGAUGGAGCUGAAAUCAGUCGAAGAUACCAGCUGGCUGCAACUGUUUAUUAAAAACACAGCACUGUGCAAACACGAAAGUGGACGUAUACGGUGUGACGCCUGCCCGGUGCCGGAAGGUUAAUUGAUGGGGUUAGCGGUAACGCGAAGCUCUUGAUCGAAGCCCCGGUAAACGGCGGCCGUAACUAUAACGGUCCUAAGGUAGCGAAAUUCCUUGUCGGGUAAGUUCCGACCUGCACGAAUGGCGUAAUGAUGGCCAGGCUGUCUCCACCCGAGACUCAGUGAAAUUGAACUCGCUGUGAAGAUGCAGUGUACCCGCGGCAAGACGGAAAGACCCCGUGAACCUUUACUAUAGCUUGACACUGAACAUUGAGCCUUGAUGUGUAGGAUAGGUGGGAGGCUUUGAAGUGUGGACGCCAGUCUGCAUGGAGCCGACCUUGAAAUACCACCCUUUAAUGUUUGAUGUUCUAACGUUGACCCGUGAUCCGGGUUGCGGACAGUGUCUGGUGGGUAGUUUGACUGGGGCGGUCUCCUCCUAAAGAGUAACGGAGGAGCACGAAGGUUGGCUAAUCCUGGUCGGACAUCAGGAGGUUAGUGCAAUGGCAUAAGCCAGCUUGACUGCGAGCGUGACGGCGCGAGCAGGUGCGAAAGCAGGUCAUAGUGAUCCGGUGGUUCUGAAUGGAAGGGCCAUCGCUCAACGGAUAAAAGGUACUCCGGGGAUAACAGGCUGAUACCGCCCAAGAGUUCAUAUCGACGGCGGUGUUUGGCACCUCGAUGUCGGCUCAUCACAUCCUGGGGCUGAAGUAGGUCCCAAGGGUAUGGCUGUUCGCCAUUUAAAGUGGUACGCGAGCUGGGUUUAGAACGUCGUGAGACAGUUCGGUCCCUAUCUGCCGUGGGCGCUGGAGAACUGAGGGGGGCUGCUCCUAGUACGAGAGGACCGGAGUGGACGCAUCACUGGUGUUCGGGUUGUCAUGCCAAUGGCACUGCCCGGUAGCUAAAUGCGGAAGAGAUAAGUGCUGAAAGCAUCUAAGCACGAAACUUGCC
rnacentral:rRNA from 1 species